rnacentral:tRNA from 1 species
CAAAGGAUAGUUUAAUUAUAGGAUUCCGGU